CCUCUGUCCCCUCCCCGCAGCCGGCCCAGGCCCCGUUGCCCCGCCUCGCGGGGGAGGGAGUCGGUUAUUUACAUGGCGCUGCCCGCUGCUUGUCUCCACCCGGCUCCCACCUGGCCCUGACAGGGAGCGCUAGCCGCGGUGCCGGGCUCCAGAUAGAGUUGUUUGAGAUUCAUGAGCCGACAUGCUUGGGAGAAGACCCAGGAAAAGUCCCCAGGCAAAGGGCCAGGGAGCUGCUGCUGCAAAGCAGCUGGGGCUCUUGGUAGAUUUCAAUCCUGAAGCAAUGUUGCUGGAUAUAGAGGAUGGUGGUGGUGAUGAGGAUCUAGAAGCGGAGCUUGCUGCUAUCACAGGAGAGAAGGUGACAGAAGGGAAGUCAAACCCCAAACGGAAAACCCCUCUGCCCAUGGAUCAUAUUGAAAAGAUGGCUGCGGAGUGCAUGAAGGACCUGAAUGAAGAGGAAGAGACGGAGGAGGAUGAAGGUUUGGAGGAGGAUACGGAUCUUUUGGCAGAGUUGCAGGAGGUUCUGGGCAAGCAAGACGAAACAGGAAGUGGUGAGAAUGAAACGGUAGCGAUGGAGGUGCUAGCAGCUCCACCAGUAAUACAGCAGCAACCUGAAAUGCAGGCAGAGAUCACAUCUCCUGCUGUUUCCAGUGAAUUGCAGCGGAUGAUAGAGGACAGAAUCGCUAACUAUAAGGCAGCAAUCUCUAAUGCAAAGGAGGCAGAUGAGAGUGGCAAAGCACGACGGUACGAAAGAGGCCUCAAGACGCUGGAAACUAUGCUGGCUGCAAUGAAGAAGGGCAAAAAGAUUAAUGAGGAAGAAAUGCCACCCCCUGUAGCAUCAGGGAGAAGCUCUGCUAAUAUGCCUCGAGCCACAGGAGCUGUGCCAGAAAAUUUAGGUGAUCCAGCCAAAGUAAUACCCAAGGAGAAAGUGGAAUCCUCUGCAGACCAUGAGCUACAGCCUGUCAAUGAUAUAAAUUUGUCUCCGGGGCCAGCCUCUUUACAUGGUCAUGCUGCUGCUACUUCUGUCCUGGAAAUGGGUGCCACAUUACAAGAUGAUUCCCUUAACAUGAGCACACGAACACUGCUGGUUACAAGACAGAAAGAAUAUAAAUUAGCAGCUCUGAAAGCCAAACAGCAAGGAGAUCUAGAGAAGGCAAAAGAAUAUAUGAAGACUGGCAAGAAAUUUACAAUGGUCUUAGAAGCACUGGAUAGUGGACAGCCAGUAGACCUCCAGGAUAUGCCCCCAGCUCCACAAGAUCUUGAAAGCCUGAAAAAGACACAGUCUCCAUCAAACCAGAUGGCAUCUGUUCCCGUUGAAAAUUCCCAGCCCCUCACAACGUUCAAACCUCAGGGCCAUGAAGCCUCAGUGUCUGCUCAGCAGCCGAAAACUGUGCUGGAAGCUUUGCAGCAGAGGUUGGAGAAAUACAGAUCUGCAGCAGCACAGGCCAAAGCAAGUGGGGAUGAUCGGAAAGGCAGGAUGCAUGAGAGGAUAGCCAAGCAAUACCAAGAUGCCAUAAGAACCCAUAAAGCAGGGAGAAAAGUGAAUUUUGCUGAAUUACCAGUUCCCCCUGGAUUCCCCCCCAUUCCCGGUGUGACACCCACAGAUGGCAACAGUACAAUAGCUGCCGUGCUGGAAAGCGCCAACCAUCUGGCUAACAUGGAGGAGAAAGAAGAUGAAGAAGUGGAGAGUGAAUCUCCCACACAGGCCCCAGUUGCCAAAAAGCCUGCUCAGCUGCCUCAGAAGCCAACACAAAUUGUAAAGCCAAUUAUGGUGCCAUCUGCUGUAGCCCAGGAAGAGCACUCUUCUGAGAGUGUGAAAAAAGCCACGUCGCCAUCCACCCCUGUAAGAGAACCAGACAAAGCUGUAUCGAACGACCAUCUCCCUUUAGCCGCAAGUGAACAACUGGAAUUUCUGGAGAAUAGGAAGAAGCAAUACUUGAAGGCAGCGAUCAAAGCAAAGCAGAAGAAUGACCUUGAACAAGCCAAGCAGUAUCUCAAGACAGCAAAGAGCUUGGACCCAAAGAUUGAGCUGGCAAAAAGUGGCAAAUCUGUUGAUAUUUCCAAGCUACCAUCACCCCUUACAGAUGACGAGAGUGACUUCAUCUUCAUCCACCAUGACGAUGUCAAACUCUCUCAGAAGGUAGAAGAGGUGUACGCUAAGCUUAUAAAACUGCUAAAGGACCAGCAUGAGAAAUGUUUGCAGUAUUCCAGGCAGUUCAUGCAUCUGGGAAACAUAACUGAAACAGCCCGGUUUGAAAAACUGGCAGAAGCAUGUAAAAAGGACCUGGAGAUUCUGCAGCUUGCACAGGCCCAGGGGAUGGAUCCCCCCAGCCAUCACUUUGAGGAGAGAACCUUUAAAAUAAUAAGAAUAUUUUCUGAACUCAACAGUACGGAAAUGCAUCUUAUCAUUGUCAGGGGAAUAAACCUGCCAGCUCCCCCAGGUGUGACACCUAAUGAUUUGGAUGCAUUUGUGAAAUUUGAAUUUCAUUACCCUAAUACGGAGCAAGCUCAGAAAAGUAAAACGGCAGUAAUUAAAAAUACCAAUUCUCCAGAGUAUGAUCAGCUGUUCAAGUUGACCAUUAACCGAAAUCACAGAGGCUUCCGAAGAGUGAUUCAGACCAAGGGAAUUAAGUUUGAAAUAUUUCACAAAGGGGGCCUUUUCAGAAGUGACAAGCAAGUGGGAACAGCACAUUUGAAACUGGACAAACUGGAAUCAGAAUGUGAAAUUAGAGAGAUCAUUGAGAUUCUGGAUGGUAGGAAGCCCACCGGAGGGAAACUAGAGGUGAAAGUGAGACUCAGGGAGCCACUCAGUGGUCAAGAUCUUCAAACAAUUACGGAAAACUGGUUGGUCCUUGAACAUUAGUUAUCCUAAGGAAAUAUUAGUAUCAUGCCAAAAUAACAACUUGAACAUUCUGAAGAAUUGGGCCCAUGCACACACUGUAGAGGGAACACCUGGCUGCUGGCAAAACAGCUGUCGCAGCAGAGAAUAGGGGAAGAAUCAAACUAAGCUUCCCCUCUUCCUAUCCACCACUUUGGAUCCAGCUUAGAUAGCAUCUCUUCCCCCUGUGAGAUCCAGGAAUGCUAAAAGCUGCAGAAUCGAGUUUGUACAUAGAAAGACGCUGCUACCCGCGAGCACCAAAGAUGUUAGAUGAAUGCACUAAUGGACAUAACAUGUCUUUAUUUUGGUAACUACCUUACUGUGUGUUAAGUUUUAUAAGGCAAGUAUUGUAAGGCCCUGGAAACUCACUACUAGUGGGAAAAAUGGAGCUGAUCUAUGCAAAAUGGAUUGAAUUGCCUUAAGAUGGGACUACUAACGUUAGCACCAGACAAAUGGUAUAUAAAUUCAUCACAACUGUCCUCUGGAGGGACUGUUUCAUAGUGGUGUGUGAAACCUUUAACAGUUUGCUCUUCAAAAAAUUCACUGGAGCAGUGCAAGGUAAUUAAUUUGCAAAGGAGACCUUGUGCUCCUGGCAUGGCUAGCUUGUGCUAGAAGCAACUCUUUUUCAGGCAUAUAGGCUCUUAUGCGUUGAAUACCACCUACUGCGUCCUCUUACGAUCACCCUCCGGCCCUUCCGAAGAUCACCAUGCUCCUCCUAUAAGUGUCCUGGGAUGAAGAAAAUAGUUCACUUUAAGCAGAGCUUUAGCAGCAGCGUAGCCCAUCUCCUCUGCAUGCUCUUGCAGCACUCUUAACUGGAUGUGUCUUGGCUUAAGGUAACAAUAGGCUAUGAGGAUUUUUUUAGAAUAGGGUUGCAGAUCUGGGUUUUGAAUUGGUUAUCAGUUGCCUGCCAUGUUCUCCCCCCCCCCCCCCCCCCCCCCCUUUGUUCCAACUCAGCCUGCUGUGUGUGCCUUCAUUUUCUUAAUGCUUGGGAAUCUGUAAAGCCUGAUAUGGCCUGUUUAAGAUCACAGGGUUUUCUGAAGGAUUGGAGUGUUUCACUAGACUACUUACUAGUUGAUUGAAAAAUAGCCACUCUUAUUUGUGUAGAAAACUGGAUCACGGCUGUUUGCAGAAUUUUUUAUGAACUAUACAUAAAAUGAUAUGGUAUCAAAA